rfam:Odoribacter laneus CAG:561 genomic scaffold, scf88
ACAACAGAAAAGGGGUGCCUUAAUACGACGGGCUGAGAUUAUACCCUAUAACCUGAUCCGGAUAAUGCCGGCGGAGGUAAAUAGAAUACACUCUUA